rnacentral:rRNA from 1 species
UACGUAGGGUGCGAGCGUUGUCCGGACUUAUUGGGCGUAAAGAGCUCGUAGGCGGUGUGUCACGUCGGCCGUGAAAACCUGCAGCUUAACUGUGGGCGUGCGGUCGAUACGGGCAUCACUGGAGUUCGGCAGGGGAGACUGGAAUUCCUGGUGUAGCGGUGAAAUGCGCAGAUAUCAGGAGGAACACCGGUGGCGAAGGCGGUUCUCUGGGCAUGUCCUGACGCUGAGGAGCGAAAGUGUGGGGAGCGAACAGG